rnacentral:rRNA from 1 species
CUAUCAUGCAGUCGAGGGGCAGCACAGGUAGCAAUACUGGGUGGCGACCGGCAAACGGGUGCGGAACACGUACGUAACCUUCCUUUAAGUGGGAGAUAGCCCGAAGAAAUUCGGAUUAAUACCCCAUAAGAUUGUGGAAUGGCAUCAUUCAGCAAUUAAAGAAUUUCGCUUAAAGAUGGGCGUGCGGCUGAUUAGGUAGUUGGUGAGGUAACGGCUCACCAAGCCAACGAUCAGUAACUGGCGUGAGAGCGCGACCAGUCACACGGGCACUGAGACACGGGCCCGACUCCUACGGGAGGCAGCAGUAAGGAAUAUUGGUCAAUGGACGCAAGUCUGAACCAGCCAUGCCGCGUGAAGGAUGAAGGUCCUCUGGAUUGUAAACUUCUUUUAUAUGGGAAGAAACCACUUUUUUCUAAAGGUGUUGACGGUACCAUAGGAAUAAGCACCGGCUAACUCCGUGCCAGCAGCCGCGGUAAUACGGAGGGUGCAAGCGUUAUCCGGAUUCACUGGGUUUAAAGGGUGCGUAGGCGGAUUAGUAAGUCCGUGGUGAAAUCUCCGAGCUUAACUCGGAAACUGCCGUGGAUACUAUUAAUCUUGAAUACUGUGGAGGUUAGCGGAAUAUGUCAUGUAGCGGUGAAAUGCAUAGAUAUGACAUAGAACACCAAUUGCGAAGGCAGCUGGCUACACAGAGAUUGACGCUGAGGCACGAAAGCGUGGGGAUCAAACAGGAUUAGAUACCCUGGUAGUCCACGCCCUAAACGAUGAUUACUCGACAUUUGCGAUAUACAGUAAGUGUCUGAGCGAAAGCAUUAAGUAAUCCACCUGGGAAGUACGACCGCAAGGUUGAAAC